AGUACAUUUGGAAUGCCUGUAUCUGCUAGAAUCUCCUCUAGACUGAAGGAUCUGAAACAUGAAGCUGAGAGGAUCAACAAUGUAAAUAUACUUGUUUGCACACCGGGUCGGCUUCUUCAACACAUGGAUGAAACGAUAUGUUUUCAUGCUACUAAUCUCCAAAUGUAGUUCUUGAUGAAGCAGAUAGAAUCUUGGAUAUGGGCUUUGCUGAUACCAUGAAUGCUAUUAUUGAAAAUCCUCCCAAGAGACAUCAGACUUUACUUUUCUCAGCAACACAAACCAAAUCUGUAAAGGACCUUGCACGCUUGAGUUUGAAAAACGCUGAGUAUGUCUGGGUUCAUGAGAAAGCAAAAUAUAGUUAAUACGUCAUGACAAGUUAUAAUCAAGAAUAUCUUAAGGCA